GUUGGAGUCAGUUGGUUGUGCUGUGAAGAAGGAGUCAGUGCUGUGAGGAGGUGCCCAUGAGAAAUCACUGAGAAGAGGAGCGCUGACAGGAUAAUAAUGACUCCCCAAAUGUAGAGACUGCAAUUUAAGUGCCUCUUACGUGGACUACAUAAGGUGUAAAGAUACCGCAACUUUUGUACUUUCAACAAAAAUUGUCAGAGCAACAGUCUACUGAUAAGCCUGAGAACAGAAAUCAUGCUGAAUAAGAAUGAGAGAUGGAGAAAAUAAGAUAUCUGUCCUUUGGUGAUUCAAGUUUAUUUUUUGCUUUCAUAUAUUUUCCAGAGUUCUCCCUCUACAUUUUUUUUAAUUAACUGAAACAAAUAGGUCUCUUUUCCAUGUGAGUUUUUAGAGGCCAAGAGACCUUUACUGUUACGGGGUUAGAGUGCUGAGGCAAAAUUGUGUUGCUAGUGCUGUAAAAGGGUCACUCACUUGCCUAUGUGCAGGGCUGGUCUUUCAGCUUUUGCUCUGUUUUGU